rnacentral:misc_RNA from 1 species
GGAAAAUGGAAUUUUUACUAAACGCGAUGUUCUUCCUGAUUUUUCCCUUCGCGGUUUGCUGCUAUCGUCUCAAGAGAUUUUUUCGACUCGACCGAAGACGCUGUUGCUCGAGCGAAUCUAAAUUUGGCGAGCGACAAGAGCGAACAUACGAAAACGAUCUGCGUGAACACUUAUGGCGAUAGUCGCGAUUCGCAAAUGGAAGCCGAGGACAUCGAGUACGUGAUGAACGAAUUGAACAAGUCUGAGGAAUCGUUACGUAAUCAUAGUAGAAAUAAGAGAAAUCGCUGCAUAAAAGAAUAUCGAUCGUGUCAUUAACACCAUUUGAGAAAUAAGUUUGACGUGAAUUGUCAUAGGAAUUUUCAGCUUGCAAGA